ACUAGCAGGUGUGUAGAUGAUGCUGAUGUCACUAGCAGGUGUGUAGAUGAUGCUGAUGUCACUAGCAGGUGUGUAGAUGAUGCUGAUGUCACUAGCAGGUGUGUAGAUGAUGCUGACGUCACUAGCAGGUGUGUAGAUGAUGCUGACGUCACUAGCAGGUGUGUAGAUGAUGCUGAUGUCACUAGCAGGUGUGUAGAUGAUGCUGAUGUCACUAGCAGGUGUGUAGAUGAUGCUGACGUCACUAGCAGGUGUGUAGAUGAUGCUGAUGUCACUAGCAGGUGUGUAGAUGAUGCUGAUGUCACUAGCAGGUGUGUAGAUGAUGCUGAUGUCACUAGCAGGUGUGUAGAUGAUGCUGAUGUCACUAGCAGGUGAGUAGAUGAUGCUGAUGUCACUAGCAGGUGUGUAGAUGAUGCUGAUGUCACUAGCAGGUGUGUAGAUGAUGCUGAUGUCACUAGCAGGUGUGUAGAUGAUGCUGAUGUCACUAGCAGGUGAGUAGAUGAUGCUGAUGUCACUAGCAGGUGAGUAGAUGAUGCUGAUGUCACUAGCAGGUGUGUAGAUGAUGCUGAUGUCACUAGCAGGUGUGUAGAUGAUGCUGAUGUCACUAGCAGGUGUGUAGAUGAUGCUGAUGUCACUAGCAGGUGUGUAGAUGAUGCUGAUGUCACUAGCAGGUGUGUAGAUGAUGUUGA